rnacentral:rRNA from 1 species
GAGUAGCUUGCUACUCUGCUGACGAGUGGCGGACGGGUGAGUAAUGUCUGGGGAUCUGCCUGAUGGAGGGGGAUAACUACUGGAAACGGUAGCUAAUACCGCAUAAUGUCGCAAGACCAAAGCGGGGGACUUUCGGGCCUCGCACCAUCAGAUGAACCCAGAUGGGAUUAGCUAGUAGGUAGGGUAAUGGCUUACCUAGGCGACGAUCCCUAGCUGGUCUGAGAGGAUGACCAGCCACACUGGAACUGAGACACGGUCCAGACUCCUACGGGAGGCAGCAGUGGGGAAUAUUGCACAAUGGGCGCAAGCCUGAUGCAGCCAUGCCGCGUGUAUGAAGAAGGCCUUCGGGUUGUAAAGUACUUUCAGUCAGGAGGAAGGGUGUGAAAUUAAUACUUUCAUGCAUUGACGUUACUGACAGAAGAAGCACCGGCUAACUCCGUGCCAGCAGCCGCGGUAAUACGGAGGGUGCAAGCGUUAAUCGGAAUUACUGGGCGUAAAGCGCACGCAGGCGGUUUGUUAAGUCAGAUGUGAAAUCCCCGGGCUCAACCUGGGAACUGCAUUUGAAACUGGCAAGCUUGAGUCUUGUAGAGGGGGGUAGAAUUCCAGGUGUAGCGGUGAAAUGCGUAGAGAUCUGGAGGAAUACCGGUGGCGAAGGCGGCCCCCUGGACAAAGACUGACGCUCAGGUGCGAAAGCGUGGGGAGCA